GGUAGUUUUUAUUCUCUUUCCAAUUGCUUCUCUCUACUCCCUCUCACUCAUCACUCUCUUUCAUUCUUCUACUGGUCGUGAUCCCUCCUUCUUUCCCAAGUUAUCUCCCAUGGCGUCCCUCCAUCGAAUAACAUUAUAGUCCUACACCAUUUCUCAAUCCGAAAACUCUCUAUUUCAUUUCCUUCCAUUCAAGAAUAACCCCUGAAAAAUGAGAGUUCCAUUCCCGAUUGUCAUUCUGUUACUCGUCCUAACUCAGCGAUCCAAUUCGGAACCAACUCAAGAAAAACAAGCACUCCAGUCGUUCCUUUCACAAGUUCCACACUCUCCUCGCAUUCAAUGGAACCAAUCUCAAUCCGCUUGUAAUUGGGUCGGAGUCCAAUGCGAUCAGUCUCAAACCCAUAUCCGUUCUCUCCGUCUUCCUGCCGUUGAAUUACUGGGUUCCAUCCCUGAAAACACUAUUGGACGUCUCUCUGAGCUUCGUAUUCUCAGCAUUCAUUCCAAUAGUCUUACCGGAACUCUCCCUUCAGACUUCUCAAAUCUCACUUUUCUUCGCGCUCUUUAUAUCGGUAACAAUCAAUUCUCCGGCGAGUUUCCAUCGAUUUUAACUCAGUUAACUCGCUUAACUCGUCUUGAUUUGUCAAACAACAAUUUUUCGGGGGAAAUCCCAUAUGCUAUUAAUAAUUUAACUUCCUUAACUGGGCUCUUUUUACAAAAAAAUAAUUUCUCAGGCCACAUUCCGAGUAUUACUGCGAAUUUACAAGAACUCAAUGUAGCUAACAAUACCCUAAACGGUUCAAUUCCGAAAUCUUUACAGAAGUUUCCGGAAUCUUCCUUUGUGGGUAAUUUACAGUUAUGUGGUGGCCCACUUCCACCAUGUAAUUCAUCGUUUUUCCCUUCGCCAUCGCCUUCACCUGUUGCCAUUGUUCCUUCUUCCCCCGCCGAGGUCGGAGGAAAGAAGAAAUUGUCUAAAGGAGCAAUUAUCGGUAUAUCAGUUGCAUCUGCAUUAGUUUUGUUACUAUUAUUAUUAUGCUUGGUUAUCUGUUGUUUGAGGAGGAGAAAAGCCGCCUCAAAAUCCACCGCCGCUAAAUCUGUCUCAGCAGGAGCGGCGGGGUCGAGAGCGGCGGAGGUUGGAGGUGGGGCUGGAGAAGCUGGGACAUCGUCUUCAAAAGACGAUUUAACGAGUGGAACUGGCCCUGAAGGUGGGGAGAGAAAUAAGUUGGUGUUUGUGAAUGGUGGUGCGUAUAGUUUUGAUCUAGAGGAUUUGUUGAGAGCAUCGGCGGAGGUGUUGGGGAAAGGGAGUGUUGGUACGAGUUAUAAGGCGGUGUUGGAGGAAGGUACGACGGUGGUUGUGAAGAGGCUUAAGGAUGUGGUAGUGGGUAAGAAGGAGUUUGAUAUGCAAAUGGAGGUUUUGGGAAAAUGUAAACAUGAGAACUUGGUGGUUUUAAGAGCUUACUAUUAUUCUAGAGAUGAGAAGUUGUUAGUUUAUGAUUAUUUGUCUGCUGGUAGCUUAUCUGCUCUUUUACAUGGUAGCAGAGGUUCUGGUCGUACAUCAUUAGAUUGGGAAAACCGAAUGAAGAUAGCCCUUGGCACUGCUCGAGGUCUUGCUUACCUUCAUGCAUCAAACAAUAUUGUCCAUGGCGACGUAAAGUCAUCCAACAUCCUCUUGCACUCUAACCAAGAUCCUGCAAUAACUGAUUAUGGACUUUCCUCUCUCUUCUCCCCCAAUUCUUCCUCCAACAAUAAUCGUAUUGCUGGGUAUCGAGCCCCAGAAGUGGUAGAAACACUAAAACCAACAUUCAAAUCCGAUGUGUAUAGCUUUGGUGUUCUGCUUUUGGAACUCCUUACCGGAAAGUCCCCAAAUCAAGCCUCAUUAGGAGAUGAGGGAAUCGAUCUUCCUAGAUGGGUACAAUCAGUUGUCCGUGAAGAAUGGACUGCUGAGGUUUUUGAUGUUGAGCUAAUGAGACAUCACAAUAUCGAAGAGGAAAUGGUACUACUCCUGCAAAUAGCAAUGGCCUGUGUCUCAACUGUGCCUGAUCAACGUCCCUCAAUGCCUGACGCUCUUCGGAUGAUUGAAGAUAUUAAUCGGAGUGAGAGUAACACAGAUGGUGGAAUCCGGCCGUCGUCAGAUGACCCGUCUAAAGGGUUUGAUGGGCAUGCCCAGCCCAUGGAGUCCCGGACUCCACCUUCUGUUACACCUUGAGCAAGCAUUGAAGGAAAUUUCAUCUCUUUGAUCAAUUCUUUAACAAAAAUUUGAACAAAAAUGCGCACAGCGCGUAGUUUAAGUGUAUAAAUUGCGCAGGGAAUGUGGAGGAUGGAUAUGGAGCUAGGUUGGUAAGAACAUAGCAAUAGUUUUUUGUUUUCUUUUGAUUUUUUAAGGUUAAAUUUGAUUUUUAUUUUUUAUAUCCUAAAAAAAUUUGAGUUUUUGUUGCAUGUGUGAAAUGGAUUUGAGGAGAAAAAAAGAGGUUGGGGAUUCCAUGAGCUUAUUGGAUUUGAGGAGAAAAAAAGAGGAAUUUCUAUUCGAGCUGGAGUAUUUGCUGUUGGUAUAUGUGAUUUUGUAACUCUCUUAGUAUCUGCGAAUGCAUCAGGUAAUUGGUUAGCAACACUUUGUAGAUGAACAAUUCGUUGUACUUCUUGUUCACAUGAUUUUGUUUUUCGGUCAAAAUAUUCUAAAUGUGUUGCUUUCCAAAUAAGUUCCAUAUUUCUUUUCUGUAAGUCCACAUUCUCUCCCCCUAAGGAUGGGAAUAUUGUCUCAUUAAAGUGGCAAUCAGCAAAUCUAGCUUGAAAUUGAUCACCAAUUAAUGGUUCAAGAUAUCGAAUGAUUGAUGGAGAUUCAAAAUCGACAUAUAUUCCCAUUCUUUUUUGUGGACCCAUUUUUGUACGUUGAGGGGGAGCAAUGGGCACAUAUACAACGCAUCCAAAGAUUUUCAAAUGUGAAAUAUUUGGUUCAAGACCAGCUACUAAUUGCAUUGGCGAAUACUUAUGAUAAGCUGUAGGUCUUAGCCUAAUCAAUGAUGCUGCAUGUAAUAUUACAUAACCCCAGGCCGAUGAUGGUAAUUUUGAUUUCAUUAGCAGUGGUCUUGCAAUUAAUUGCAAUCUCUAAAUUAAGGAUUCAGCAAGACCAUUUUGUGUGUGAACAUGUGGCACAGGGUGUUCCACUUUAAUUCCAAUUGACAUGCAAUAAUCAUUAAAAGUUUGAGAU